rnacentral:rRNA from 1 species
UUAAUAUUCCCGUACUUCUUACAAUUGCGAUGGGGGGACGGAGAAGGCUAGGUGGGCCUGGCGACGGUUGUCCAGGUUCAAGUGCGUAGGCUGAGUGUUUAGGUAAAUCCGGAUACUCUUAAGGCUGAGACACGACGUCGAGCUACUACGGUAGUGAAGUCAUUGAUGCCAUGCUUCCAGGAAAAGCCUCUAAGCUUCAGAUUGUAAGGAAUCGUACCCCAAACCGACACAGGUGGUCGGGUAGAGAAUACCAAGGCGCUUGAGAGAACUCGGGUGAAGGAACUAGGCAAAAUGGUACCGUAACUUCGGGAGAAGGUACGCUCUUGAUGGUGAAGUCCCUUGCGGAUGGAGCUGACGAGAGUCGCAGAUACCAGGUGGCUGCAACUGUUUAUUAAAAACACAGCACUGUGCAAAAUCGUAAGAUGACGUAUACGGUGUGACGCCUGCCCGGUGCCGGAA